rnacentral:lncRNA from 1 species
UUUGCUGGUAAGCAAUUGGAGGAUGGAAGGACCCUUGCUGACUACAACAUUCAGAAGGAGUCUACUCUUCACUUGGUGCUGAGGCUAAGGGGUGGUAUGCAAAUCUUUGUGAAGACAUUGACCGGAAAGACAAUUACAUUGGAGGUGGAGAGCUCAGAUACCAUUGACAAUGUGAAGGCAAAGAUCCAGGAUAAGGAGGGGAUCCCACCAGACCAGCAGAGGUUGAUUUUUGCUGGGAAGCAGUUGGAAGACGGGAGGACUUUGGCUGACUACAACAUUCAAAAGGAGUCUACCCUUCACCUUGUCCUUCGUCUCCGUGGUGGUUUCUGAGUCUUGUCUGUUUGGUAUCUGGUGACUAUGGUCUUGUGGUACUUGGUCACUUUUAUGUUGCAGUUUUUAAUAUUCUGUUAUUAAGUGGUUGUGUUUUGUGUGGAAGGUGAAGCGGUGAACUAUGUAGUAGCAUAUUUAAUGGAGUAGUAAUAACGAAGGGUAGAUCUUGCUCUAAAAGUCAUGAAUUCUAUAAAAAGUUUAUAUUUUUUGCAACAGUCCAUAUAUCUCAGGUGUGGUGACUUUU